GUUGCCAACUCUCCCCAGGCGACAGAUUCUAGUGUCUCACAACCUUUUCUCUCUCCUGCUCAACUCGGAGCUGCCAUCUCAGCAGAAGCCUCUCCCCCACCUCCUCAGGUCUCCUCAGGUGCUUCCUUUAGGCCCAAGCCCUCUGAGGAUCCAGAAGUGGCCCAUGGCCAGAGAGAGCAGUCCAGUCCCAGAAACGCAGCUUCUGAGGAUGUGGAUGGGCGAAGUCCUCAUUACUGGAUUGGCACUGGGGACAAUGACCGAGCUUUCAGCAACAGCAGCAGCAGCAGCAGUAUAGGGGUCAAACUCAGACUGAGAGGCAAGAGCUUCUUGGAACUUGGAUGCUCCCAUAGCAUUAAAAAGGGCCAGGCCGGGCAGGGAUCAGAACUUGGCCAUCCAGUAGGCUUGGAUGAUACUGGAGACAGCGAGACCCAGUCCCCAGGCUGCAUGUCCUUCCUUUCCAUGACUUGCCCUCAGCCUCAAGCACCCUCCUGGUCAGCAAGGACAGAAAGCUUGUCAGGGCUGUUGGCCUUUCAUGUUCCACAACUGGCCCCUCUGUGGCCCUUGGAGAAGGGGUGGGUUGUGGGGUGGUGGGCUGCAUGCCUUCCAUGUCCCUGGUACAUCUAAUAACCAUGAGGAAAGAGAGAAGGGGGUCCCCUCAGUGUUUGGCGGCUUCAGGGUUGGGGAGUGGAGAGGGGCCAAGAGGACAGUAGUGCCUGAAGAUUCCAGAAGAGUCCACAGAAUAUUCCUUUGACCCUGGAGUGGCUGGCAAGCAGGAGGGGUUAUCGACUUCCACCACCUGGAGGAUGCUCCCACAAUUUGCAGACCAUUUCCAAGGCUCUUGAACAAGUUAUUGGAGGUGAAUCUGCACCACGACAAGAUGUGGGAGAUGUUAAAUUCCCACUGCUGAUCCCUGGGGUUCCUGUUACUCUCUCCCACUCCAAGCAUGAACACUGACCUCCACGGAGCCGACGUCGAAACGCUCUGUUCUGUAUUGUUCUCUUUUAAAUAAUUCAUACUUGGUGAGAUGUGCAGUUUUUGAAGUAAAAUAUAAAAAUAAAAAAGGAAAGAACUCAAAG